rnacentral:rRNA from 1 species
AGACGUCUACAUUAGAUACCCCCGUAGUCCCAGCCGUAAACUAUGCGCGUUAGGUGUAUCGGUGACCACGAGUUACCGAGGUGCCGAAGGGAAACCGUGAAACGUGCCGCCUGGGAAGUACGGUCGCAAGGCUGAAACUUAAAGGAAUUGGCGGGGAGCACCACAACAGGUGGAGCCUGCGGUUUAAUUGGACUCAACGCCGGGAAGCUCACCGGAUAGGACAGCAGAAUGAUUGCCAGGCUGAAGACCUUGCCUGAAUCGCUG